rnacentral:rRNA from 1 species
UGCAGUCGAGCGGCAGCGCGGGGCAACCUGGCGGCGAGUGGCGAACGGGUGAGUAAUAUAUCGGAANGUGCCCUGGAGUGGGGGAUAACGCAGCGAAAGUUGCGCUAAUACCGCAUACGAUCUAAGGAUGAAAGCGGGGGAUUCGCAAGAACCUCGUGCUCCUGGAGCGGCCGAUAUCUGAUUAGCUAGUUGGUGGGGUAAAGGCCUACCAAGGCAUCGAUCAGUAGCUGGUCUGAGAGGACGACCAGCCACACUGGAACUGAGACACGGUCCAGACUCCUACGGGAGGCAGCAGUGGGGAAUUUUGGACAAUGGGCGAAAGCCUGAUCCAGCAAUGCCGCGUGAGUGAAGAAGGCCUUCGGGUUGUAAAGCUCUUUUGUCAGGGAAGAAACGGUGAAGGCUAAUAUCCUUUGCUAAUGACGGUACCUGAAGAAUAAGCACCGGCUAACUACGUGCCAGCAGCCGCGGUAAUACGUAGGGUGCAAGCGUUAAUCGGAAUUACUGGGCGUAAAGCGUGCGCAGGCGGUUUUGUAAGUCUGUCGUGAAAUCCCCGGGCUCAACCUGGGAAUUGCGAUGGAGACUGCAAGGCUAGAAUCUGGCAGAGGGGGGUAGAAUUCCACGUGUAGCAGUGAAAUGCGUAGAGAUGUGGAGGAACACCGAUGGCGAAGGCAGCCCCCUGGGUCAAGAUUGACGCUCAUGCACGAAAGCGUGGGGAGCAAACAGGAUUAGAUACCCUGGUAGUCCACGCCCUAAACGAUGUCUACUAGUUGUCGGGUUUUAAUUAACUUGGUAACGCAGCUAACGCGUGAAGUAGACCGCCUGGGGAGUACGGUCGCAAGAUUAAAACUCAAAGGAAUUGACGGGGACCCGCACAAGCGGUGGAUGAUGUGGAUUAAUUCGAUGCAACGCGAAAAACCUUACCUACCCUUGACAUGUACGGAAGCCACGANANAU